CACGUAGGCGGAUCUUUAAGUCGGGGGUGAAAUCCUGGAGCUCAACUCCAGAACUGCCUUCGAUACUGGGGAUCUCGAGUCCGGGAGAGGUGAGUGGAACUCCGAGUGUAGAGGUGAAAUUCGUAGAUAUUCGGAAGAACACCAGUGGCGAAGGCGGCUCACUGGCCCGGUACUGACGCUGAGGUGCGAAAGCGUGGGGAGCAAACA
rnacentral:rRNA from 1 species